GCAUCGGGAUUGAAGCUUGCUUCAAUUGCCGGCGACCGGCGCACGGGUGCGUAACGCGUAUGUAACCUACCUAUAACAGGGGCAUAACACUGAGAAAUUGGUACUAAUUCCCCAUAAUAUUCGGAGAGGCAUCUCUCCGGGUUGAAAACUCCGGUGGUUAUAGAUGGACAUGCGUUGUAUUAGCUAGUUGGUGAGGUAACGGCUCACCAAGGCAACGAUACAUAGGGGGACUGAGAGGUUAACCCCCCACACUGGUACUGAGACACGGACCAGACUCCUACGGGAGGCAGCAGUGAGGAAUAUUGGUCAAUGGACGCAAGUCUGAACCAGCCAUGCCGCGUGCAGGAAGACGGCUCUAUGAGUUGUAAACUGCUUUUGUACGAGGGUAAACUCACCUACGUGUAGGUGACUGAAAGUAUCGUACGAAUAAGGAUCGGCUAACUCCGUGCCAGCAGCCGCGGUAAUACGGAGGAUUCAAGCGUUAUCCGGAUUUAUUGGGUUUAAAGGGUGCGUAGGCGGUUUGAUAAGUUAGAGGUGAAAUCCCGGGGCUUAACUCCGGAACUGCCUCUAAUACUGUUAGACUAGAGAGUAGUUGCGGUAGGCGGAAUGUAUGGUGUAGCGGUGAAAUGCUUAGAGAUCAUACAGAACACCGAUUGCGAAGGCAGCUUACCAAACUAUAUCUGACGUUGAGGCACGAAAGCGUGGGGAGCAAACA
rnacentral:rRNA from 1 species